rnacentral:lncRNA from 1 species
CACGCACAUUACAGCUACAAAAACAAUACCUUGGGGAAAAUGGCAUAGCCCUAACUUUAUCUCCUCCAAAAUUUUCUCACUGGCACCAAAAAUGUGCUGGCACAUAAGAUGUAGCAAAAUACCCCUUUUGCUGCCUCGCCUAGGGUUAGGGUUACACCUAGGAUUAGGGCUCAGAACCCAAAAAGCCCAGAACUCAUGGGACUCUACAGGUACAAAAGGCAUGCCAAGGGCAACACUAAACUACUACAAUGGAGACCCAUCCACACUUUUCUGCUUGGCACCAACCUAAACCCAAGUCUGAUUUCCUGCUGUCCCUAGGGUUAGGGUAAUACCUAGGGCUAAGGUUCAGAAAACCACACAGCCCACAGCUUGAAGCACACUGCAGGUGAAAAAGGCAUGCCAAGGGGAACACAGAACUGCCACAAUGAGGAUAGAUCCACAACUUUCUGCUUGGCACCAACCUGAACACAAGGCUGAUUUACUGCUGCGCCUAGGGUUAGGGUUGUGCCGAGGGUUAGGGUUAUGCCUAGGGUUAGGGUUCAGAAAAACCACAAAGCCCAGCUUGAUGAAGCAGGUGGAUAAAGCAUGAGAAGGGGAAUUCAGUGCUGAUACAACAUGGCUCCCUCCACAGAUUUCAAUUUGCUCCACCCUCACCCCCAUGAGGUUUCACUGCUCUGCCUAGGGUUAGUCUUACGCCCAGGGUUAGGGUUCCACCUAGGGUUAGGGUCCAGAAAACCAAAGCCCAGAGCUUCAAGCACACUGCUGCUACAAAAGGCACACCAAGGGGAACACAGGACUGAUACAUUUUGCCUCCCUUCACACUUUACUGGGCACCACCCUCAGUCCUGUGAAGUGCUUUGCCUAGGGUUAGGGUUAGUCCUAGGUUUAGGGUUCAGUAAACCACAAAGGUCAGAGCUCCAAGCACACUCCAGCUACAGAGGGCAUGCCAAGGUGAAUACAGGACAGCCACAGCAUUGUUCCCUCUACACCUUUCUGCUUGGCACUGGCAUCACCCCCAUGAGGCUUUUACUGCUGCACCUAGGGUUAGGCCUGUGCCUUUGGUUAGAGUUCAGAAAACCACGAAACCCAGAGCUCCAGGAACUCUGCAGCUGCAAAAUGCAUGCUAAGGCUUUUGCUUCGUGCAGAGAUGCUGGAAUUGUGUAA